CAGCCAGAGAGCAGUUAGCAUCAGUUACUCACUUUUGAAUUUCGGAUUUACAUGUAACUUCUGGGUAGAUGACUUGUUGCCAUCUGCUAACUGCUUUGGGCUUAUUGUGCCUAGGGUGUUAGAUUGAGAAGAUCCAGUAAACUAAACUCCAGGGAGAGCUUGGUAUAAAUAAAAAAAAUCCGGCAUCUGUCAGAACAAACAGGAACCAAUCUGAGAUGCAACGACGAGGGAGGCUCUGGUUCCAAAACAAUUCAGAACGGUGUUAGCCUGUUACAGCAAGAAGAACCCUGCUUCUGUUCAAUGGCUGCCCCUUCCUCUGUGUAACCCACAUCCAGCUCCAGGGUCAGUCCUUCUAACUAAGGUGGGUAACCUGCCAUGUCCAGUGAUUAGCAUGUAUGGUCACAUGACCAAUGUGGGCC
rnacentral:lncRNA from 1 species